AAUUUUCGUUUCAAUUUAAUUUAUUACAGCUGCUUCAAUUUCAUAAGUCAUGUGGCGGAAUCUAGGUGCAGACUACAGUCACACACACAGUAGCGUUCACUACACACAGCAUUAUAGUCUGUGGUAGACACAGAAAGCGCGCCAAAACAUAAACAUCAAAUUUUACUCUGAAUAUUUUAACUAUAGGUAAAUCUUGUGAAUAAUAUUGUUAUUUCACCUCAAAUACAACUUUAAAAAAUGUUGCCCUUUAGCUAUGUAUCGAUAAUUUUAUUGCAGCAAGUGAAUUAUGACUUUAUCGCGAUUCUAACAAGAAAAAUAUUAGUGAAAUUAAAAACACGAAUUCCAGACAGUCCGGUCAUCGCAAUGAGAGUAGUAUUCUGUACAAUAUCACCAGAAAAUGUAUAUCUCGGCAGCUGGAUAGAGGCACGCUGUCACUGAUAACAAUAGUGGUUGAAACUGCUACUGCUUUAGCGACAUUUAUUACUUUAAAACUAUGAAACUAUAACAAUAGUGACAAUAAAUAACUUUCAAAAUAUAAGCCAUCAUAUGUCCUGUACAUCUGUGAUCAUAUAAAGUUAGUUAGGUAAUAAAAAAAUUUUUAAAGUAAAAA